UACGGAGGGUGCGAGCGUUGUUCGGAAUUACUGGGCGUAAAGCGCGCGUAGGCGGUGAUCUUUGUCAGAGGUGAAAGCCCGGGGCUCAACUCCGGAAUUGCCUUUGAAACGGGAUCGCUAGAGUCCGAGAGAGGAUGGCGGAAUUCCUAGUGUAGAGGUGAAAUUCGUAGAUAUUAGGAAGAACACCGGUGGCGAAGGCGGCCAUCUGGCUCGGUACUGACGCUCAGGCGCGAAAGCGUGGGGAGCAAACAGG
rnacentral:rRNA from 1 species